rnacentral:rRNA from 1 species
GAUGAACGCUGGCGGCGUGCCUAAUACAUGCAAGUCGAGCGAACAGACGAGGCGCUUGCUCCUCUGACGUUUGCGGCAGACGUGUGAGUCACACGUGUAUCAUCUCCUUAUCAGACUGGGAUCACUUCGGGAAACCGGCGCAAAUACCGGAUAAGCUCUUGCUCCGCAUGGUUCAAUAGAGAAAGACGGCUUUUGUGUCUCGUCUCGAUGGUUCCGCGCCGCAUUAGCUAGUUGGUACGGUCAAGGCUUACCAAGGCAACCAUGCGUAACCGACCUGAUAGGGUGAUCGGCCACACGGGAGCGUAGACACGGACCAGACGACUACGGUAGGCAGCAGUAGGGAAUCUUCCGCAGUGGGCGAAAGCUUGGCGGAGCAGCGCCGCGUGAGUGAUGGAGGUCUUCGGAGCGUAAAACUCUGUUAUGAGUGAAGAACAAAUGUGUAAGUAACUAUGCACGGCUUGACGGUACCGAAUCAGAAAGCCACGGCUAACUACGUG